rnacentral:rRNA from 1 species
UACAGAGGGUGCAAACGUUGCUCGGAAUUAUUGGGCGUAAAGCGCACGUAGGCGGUUCGUUAAGUCGGAUGUGAAAGCCCUAGGCUCAACCUAGGAAGUGCAUUCGAAACUGGCGAGCUUGAAUAUGGAAGAGGGUCGCGGAAUUCCACGUGUAGCAGUGAAAUGCGUAGAUAUGUGGAGGAACACCGAUGGCGAAGGCAGCCCCCCUGGGUCAAGACUGACGCUCAUGCACGAAAGCGUGGGGAGCAAACAGG